rnacentral:rRNA from 1 species
CCGUGAUAAAGUAGCAUAAUCACUCGUCAUUUAAUUGGUGACUGGAAUGAACGGUUAAACGAAUCUCUAACUGUCUCGAGGAGAGAGUUCAAUUAAUUUGAAGAAACAGUGAAGAUGCUGUUAGAUAAUUGUAAGACGAAAAGACCCUUUCGAGCUUUACUAUAAACUUAUAUUUUCGGUAAAUAAUAAUAAUCUAUUUACAUAAUUCUUGUAAGUUUGUUAGUUUGGUUGGGGCGACCACCUCUAAAAUAGUAUCAGAGGAAAUCUAAAGGUUUCUAUAGUAAUAUGAUUUGCCUUACUGUAUACAAACAAGUUAAUCAGUUACAUUUAUGUAGGAUAUAAUGACCCGUUAAUUAAAUUUUAAAACUUAACGACCAUGAAAAAAGUUACCGUAGGGAUAACAGGGUAAUAUUUUCGAAGAGUUCAUAUCGAUGAAAAU